UUUUGUUUUACUUUCAAAACAGGAAUCAGCCAGCUGAGGCAGCAUUGCACUUCACUAAUAUUAGCAAGAAUAUAAUUAAAAGUUUCUUGAC